rnacentral:rRNA from 1 species
CGUAGGGCGCAAGCGUUGUCCGGAAUUAUUGGGCGUAAAGAGCUCGUAGGCGGCUUGUCACGUCGGAUGUGAAAGCCCGGGGCUUAACCCCGGGUCUGCAUUCGAUACGGGCAGGCUAGAGUGUGGUAGGGGAGAUCGGAAUCCCUGGUGUAGCGGUGAAAUGCGCAGAUAUCAGGAGGAACACCGGUGGCGAAGGCGGAUCUCUGGGCCAUUACUGACGCUGAGGAGCGAAAGCGUGGGGAGCGAACAGGAUUAGAUACCCUGGUAGUCCACGCCGUAAACGUUGGGAACUAGGUGUUGGCGACAUUCCACGUCGUCGGUGCCGCAGCUAACGCAUUAAGUUCCCCGCCUGGGGAGUACGGCCGCAAGGCUA